GAAUUGGUUCAGAUAAUAAUUAGUUUUCAAUUCAUUGUUUAAUAUCAUGUUCCACAACUGAAGUGCUCGGUUUACAAUAGAGAAUUUAGUAACGAGAUAAUAAGUUUUAGAUUAAAUGUAGUUGUAUUUUGAAAAUCUAGUAGGGUAUAUGUGAUUUAUUUUUUCAAAAAUUGAAUAAAAUAAGAUUGGUAAUAUAUUUUUAUCAAGUUUGAAUAUGAAAAUAAGAACAUGAUAGAAGUUUAGUUUGUAUACAGUUAGGAUAUUGAGUUCAUUAAAUAGUAUUUGUAUGUAAGAGAAACGAUCUACGUUUGAAACUAUCGUUAUAGCCUGUUUUUGUUUGCUGAACAAUUUUUUUAUUUUCGUCGCCUGAACAAAGUGAAUGAUUGCAUGAUUGGUGGAAUGGCCGGAUUUGAAUCCAAAAUGUUUAUGAAAAACAAUUAAGAAUUGAGAUUGGAUGAUAAUUUGCAACUUCAGAAGGAUCACCUGAUUUUAAAAUUGGAAUGAUUUUUGCUUUUUUCAGGUUUUCUGGAUAAACACUAUGUUUUAAAGAUAAAUUAAAAAUAUGUAAUAAUGGAAUUGUGAUGUAUUUUUUCGAUUUAAUAUCGACAUUACUACUUAUAGCAUUGGGCUUUAACAAAGAGACUGCGUCUAAUAAUCCUUUCUUUUAUAGUUUUUGUAAUUAGUUUCAUUUUUAAGAGUUUUUUUUUUUAAGAAACUUGUUAUAUAAACGUUAUUUUUUUUGAGGAUUUAAGAAUGCCACUUGUGAUCCAAGGG